CUGUUUUGUUUCUUCUUGGUAGGAGUUCAAAUCUACCGGCGGCAUGUUGAAGGUUUCAUCGAUGUACCGCAUGUGUAGUGGCCCCCCAAGUGUGAUGAAAGAGUUAUUAUUGCUAACCGAGAAGGGGAGAUGCUACAGAUGCCAACGUGCUACUGUAGAACAGUACGGUCUGAGGCUUCUGUCAAAAACAUUCAUACAAGUACGGCAAGAAAACAAGAUUUCUAUAAUACUACUCCUAUCUACUACUACUACUACUGUGUCUACUACUGAAAAUACUCGCAGCGGAUCCGCUGUGUUCGACCAGUUCGCGGACGACUACAUCAUCGUUUGGCAGCCAAGAACGUUUCGGCGAUUUACUAUUGUACAAUAAUAAUAUAAUAUUGUAUUCUAAUUCUAUAUUUAUACAAAUCAUAUAGUUGUAUACACAUAAAAUAACUAUAUUGUUUUUUUUUCUAAUUAAUAUUUUAAUCUUUUUUCCAAAAAUAAAGCCACACAUCGUUUGUAUUUUAUGAUUUUUCCGAUGAUAAUGAUCGCUUGUUGUCUUAUUGAUUGCAAAAGUUUAUUCCAUCUCAUGAUAUUUUUCUAAACAGUCUUUAAGCAGCGGUGGCAGUAGCAGUGGCGGCAGCAAUGAUGACGGAGGCGGUGGCAGUUCGAUUCGGAGCGUCUCCAGCAUCUGCAGAUGUAUGUAUACAGGCGGGGCCUUGAGGAUUCGUUGCCGGAUUUUUUUUCACUCUCUUUUCAGGGUCAUAAAUCAUUUUUUUUUUCUCUCUUGACGCUUAUCCUGCGAUUCAUCGCUGUGCACAGAUGUCACACGGCCGUCGUUACGACAAUCAAUUAGAAUCGCCAAAAGACUGACGCGUGCCAAGUGUAUAAUCAACACAAUGUUGUGAGUUUUAAUUAUAAACGGCCGUGUGAUUAGGUACAAAAACGUGAGUUAAAAAAUUUUCCCUUGGUAAAAAAGUGCCACCGCCGUGUAUGAGUUUAUUCUGUCCACGCGCAUGUGUGUGUAAUGUUUAAACACACACACCGAAGAAUUUCCAUAAAUAGUGACUCGCCGAGGGUUGUGCGCACGUCACAAGGCAGUACCAAGCACCACCAGUCAGUUAGUUCAAAAAUAGAUUGCCUUAACAAUAAUACUGUAUUACUUCUAUCUCCCUCUAUCUUUCUCCCAACGUCCCUGUCAAGAUCUGUCGGUGUGUCUAUCUCUCUCUGUCUCGUUAUCUAUCCAUAUCUCCCCCUCCCUCCCUCACUCUCUCUCUCUCUCUCUCUCCCUCUCUUUCUCUCUCUCUCUCUCUGUCGCUCACCGUUCCUGUUAGCUAUACUCCCACACAGACGUUUCUGGUCCUUACACAUUUCCCCCUUGGCGGAUUACCGUGAACACAAACAUUGCAUACAACAACUGCAGUUAAAUUAUGGCCCCGAUAAUUAAAUGGCAUUGCUUUCAUAUUUAAAUAUACACACCGAUUCGCAGAAUCGUCGAGUGCAAAAUAAUACGAACAGUGGCAAAAAAGGAAAUCUUCCUAGACACGGCCAAGGUGGCAAUCGGUUGAACAACUUCCGAAGGGCCGCGGCGCGAGAGGAACAACAGAUUCAUUUGUUGCCAUAUUGGUAUUCAAUCUUCUCGAUUAUUACUAAUAUUAUUAUUGCCGGGGUGGUGGUGCUUACUACGAUUAGUUAUUCAGUCUGCGGUUCAACGUUUCCCGGCAUUUUAACCCAAGUUCAAGUUUUUUUUUUGGCUCUUUAGUCAUUAACAUUUUUGCAUCGUUAACACAGUGAAGCGAAAUCGUUGGUGUAGGGCAGAAUAAUUUUAUUCUACAAAAGAAAUUAAAACAAAAAAACUUGAACCGCUCACGCUGGAUCGGCGGUAUCGUUCAUUACAACACACUGAUUUUGUUUGAACUAUUUCAAUGGUGCCUUUUGAUUUGUAUUUUUUCUGUCAAUUUAAUGGUUAAAACAUGAGUCUUACUGCAAUAUUUUUUGACAUGAGGCAUAUCCACAGAUAAAUCCUACAGUACUGACAUAUUCUGUUUUGUGACAUAAUUUUAAAUUCUAACUCGACAUCGUCGUGUUUACGGACGUACUUUUCGGUUGCAAAUCUGUUACUAGGAUCAUACAUUAAUUACUAAGAAAUAAAAAUCCGACGUCAAAUCGUAAUUAGGUACCUCGAACGUUUCGCAAAUCAGCAAAAAGGAAAUAUUGUCCAUUUAGUUUCUUAUUUAAGUUUUGCAACCGAUGGCUUAUGUUCUAUUAAUACUACUUAUUGGCUAAAUUACAGGAUACAUAAGUACUUGCAUUCAAUAAACGUUUAUUAAACAUAAUAAUGUAAUAUUUGUUAAUACAAUUUAUUAUAUAAUCGCACCAGCUUAAAUAAUUUAAUAAAUAUAAUAUGAUUAUAUAAAAACAAAAUAAAAAUCAAGUUAAAAAUGAAAAAUACAUUUUGAUAACAAUAAUUAUAGCCGCGAAAGCCAUUUUAAUAAAUAAGACAAAAUUCUUGUAGCACACUUAAAAUUAAUUCUAAUAAAUAAAUAAUAAGAAAUAAUUCGUAUAAUUGUAUGGCACUUGAUAAGUAUUCAUGGGUUAAAACAAAGCCUAAACACUAAGCUUUAUAGAUUAUCAUUUUCAGUAUCGGCAUUAUUAAAAUGAUAAAUAGCACUCAACCUUGAAGGAUUGACUAAAAAAGAGAGAGGGAGAGA